rnacentral:tRNA from 1 species
GGGCCCAUAGCGCAGCGGUAGCGCAUCUGGCUGGCAGCCAGGAGGUCGAGAGUUCGAAUCUCUCUGGGUCCA